GGGCUCACUUCAGCAGCACAUAUACUAAAUUGGAACGAUACAGAGAUUAGCAUGGCCCCUGCACAAGGAUGACAUGCAAAUUUGUGAUGCAUUCCCUAUUAAA
rnacentral:snRNA from 1 species